UAUGCCAGAGUACGUCUACCAUUCUGCUCUUCACCCAUAUCUUAUGUCUCCUGGUCAAAUCUUUGAGGUGAAGACUGUAAAAGCGUCUCAGGUGAAGUGAAAAGUUCUCUGGACGUCCUGAUUCUUCUUCUUCUACUUUCGUCCAGACCUGUAAGAAGAGGUUCACAAAUUUUCGUGCUUCUCGUUCGAAUUGUACCCUGCAUACACUAGAGAAUAAAACACUAAAGAGCACACAAUUAGCCCAAAAAUAAAAUAAAAAAACAAAAAUAAAAUAAAGUAUAAUCGGUUAAGAACACACAAAUAGAAUAGUUAAACCAUGAGUCCCCGAC
rnacentral:lncRNA from 1 species